rnacentral:rRNA from 1 species
CCUACGGGCGACAGCAGUGAGGAAUAUUGGUCAAUGGACGAGAGUCUGAACCAGCCAAGUAGCGUGAAGGAUGACUGCCCUAUGGGUUGUAAACUUCUUUUAUAUGGGAAUAAAAUGUUCCACGUGUGGGAUUUUGUAUGUACCAUAUGAAUAAGGAUCGGCUAACUCCGUGCCAGCAGCCGCGGUAAUACGGAGGAUCCGAUCGUUAUCCGGAUUUAUUGGGUUUAAAGGGAGCGUAGGUGGAUUGUUAAGUCAGUUGUGAAAGUUUGCGGCUCAACCGUAAAAUUGCAGUUGAAACUGGCAGUCUUGAGUACAGUAGAGGUGGGCGGAAUUCGUGGUGUAGCGGUGAAAUGCUUAGAUAUCACGAAGAACUCCGAUUGCGAAGGCAGUUCACUGGACUGCAACUGACACUGAGGCUCGAAAGUGUGGGUAUCAAACAGGAUUAGAUACCCUGGUAGUC